rnacentral:RNase_P_RNA from 1 species
GCGGAGGGCCGGAUGGCCGCGGGGGCUGGCCCCCGAGGAAAGUCCGGACUCCCUGAAGCGACGGUGCCGGGUAACGCCCGGCCGGGGCAACCCGAGGGAAAGCGCCACAGAGAAGAGACUACCCGUCCCCGGACGGGAAAAGGUGAAACGGUGGGGUAAGAGCCCACCGCGGGCCUGGCAACAGGACCGGCAAGGCAAGCCCCACCGGGAGCAAUGCCGAAUAGGGGCCUCGCGCGGGGGCCGGUCCCGGAUCUCGGUCCGGGAGACCGCCCGCAGGGAUGCUUCGACCCGAGAGGCCCGGGUUGGCAGCUUGAGCGCGCCGGCAACGGCGCGCCGAGAGGAAUGGUCAUCCAGCCCCGGAUCACGGUCCGGGGCGGACAGAAUCCGGCUUACAGGCCCUCCGCGCAU